rnacentral:rRNA from 1 species
AUUGAACGCUGGCGGCAGGCCUAACACAUGCAAGUCGAGCGGAGCGGCGGACGGGUGCGUAAUGCCUAUGAAUCUGCCUGGUCGUGGGGGAUAACGUCCGGAACCGGGCGCUAAUACCGCAUCCUCUCACAUGAGCCUAGGUCGGAUUAGCUAGUUGGGGGGGUAAAGGCCUACCCAGGCGACGAUCCGUAACUGGUCUGAGAGGAUGAUCAGUCAAACUGGAACUGAGAAACGGUCCAGACUCCUACGGGAGGCAGCAGUGGGGAAUAUUGGACAAUGGGCGAAAGCCUGAUGCAGCCAUGCCGCGUGUGUGAAGAAGGUCUUCGGAUUGUAAAGCACUUUAAGUUGGGAGGCGUUACCAACAGAAGAAGCACCGGCUAACUUCGUGCCAGCAGCCGCGGUAAUAC